UAGCUCAGUGGGUAGAGCAUGAGACUCUUAAUCUCAGGGUCAUGGGUUUGUGACUCAU
rnacentral:tRNA from 1 species